GGCAAGGCUGUUGGUGUUUGAUGAAUAUGAAAACCCAGAUUCCAUAGAUAAUAUAAGGGAAACUAUUGAUUAUUUUUGAAAUCAACCUUGCGCUCAUAGGGAAACUUUAAAAUAAUGGCAGAUGACUAACCAAUUAGUGAACAUGAUGUAAAAUAUGUAGUUUAAGCCUGAUCGCAUGAAUAGUUUCCGAACCAGUGAUACUCUCCAAAAGCUGUCUAACCUCCACUGCGUUCACACCAGGCCGGAAGCCACUUAACGUUAACUGUCUUGCCCAUUGUCUCCUAUAAAUCAUUGAAGAAAAACAGAAAUCUAAGAUAAGCAAUUAAGAAUCCUAGAACAUUAUUACAAAUCAGAAGAAAAUAUCCAAAGAGAUGAUGACAUACCACAGCUGAUGUUGAUGAUGACCGUUUUGCUAAGUUUCAAGUUCUCAGAGACACUAUGUUUUUCCAAUCGACCGCCUUCUUAUAUUUUCGUUUGAGUGAUCCUAUUGGUUGAGGUUCUAGUUCUCUACUAUGUUUGAUUGUUG
rnacentral:lncRNA from 1 species